GGUCAAGAUAUGAGGGGCACACGGUGGAUGCCUUGGCACCUGAGCCGAUGAAGGACGUGGUUACCUGCGAAAAGCCUGGGGGAGCUGGUAGCGAGCGUUGAUCCCGGGAUAUCCGAAUGGGGGAACCUGGCCUGUGGGGACACGGGUCACCGCGGAAGCGGGGGGAACCCGGGGAACUGAAACAUCUUAGUACCCGGAGGAGGAGAAAGAGAUAUCGAUUCCCUGAGUAGCGGCGAGCGAAAGGGGAGGAGCCUAAACCCAGGUGCGUGCGCCUGGGGGUAGUGGGGCCUCUGUUGGUCUAGUUUCUGGUCUAGCCGAAGCUUGCUGGGAAGCGGCACCGGAGAAGGUGAAAGUCCUGUAGGCGAAAGGCUGGGGGCUGGAUGGGGGUACCCGAGUAGCCUGUGGUUCGUGGAGCCAUGGGUGAAUCUGCGCGGACCACCGCGUAAGGCUAAAUACUACAGGUGACCGAUAGUGGAUCAGUACCGUGAGGGAAAGGUGAAAAGAACCCCGGGAGGGGAGUGAAAUAGAGCCUGAAACCGUGUGCUUACGAGCAAUCACGGGGCCUUUGGGCCUUGUGGUGUGCCUAUUGAAGCAUGAGCCGGCGACUCACGGUCGUAGGCGAGCUUAAGCCGUGGAGGCGGAGGCGUAGGGAAACCGAGUCCGAAGAGGGCGUUUAGUCUGCGGCCGUGGACCCGAAACCGGGUGAGCUAGUCCUGGCCAGGGUGAAGCUGGGGUGAAACCCAGUGGAGGCCCGAACCGGUGGGGGAUGCAAACCCUUCGGAUGAGCUGGGGUUAGGAGUGAAAAGCUAACCGAACCCGGAGAUAGCUGGUUCUCCCCGAAAUGACUUUAGGGUCAGCCUCAGGUGCUGAUUCCUGCCUGUAAAGCACUGAAAGGGCUAGGGGGCCUACCAGCCUACCAAACCCUAUCAAACUCUGAAGGGUAGGAAGUGGAGCCUGGGAGUGAGGGUGCGGGUGCUAACAUUCGCAUCCGAGCGCGGGAACAACCGAGACCGCCGAAUAAGGUCCCGAAGUGUAGGCUAAGUGGGAAAAGAUGUGGCGUUGCUGAGACAGCCAGGAGGUUGGCUUAGAAGCAGCCAUCCUUUGAAGAGUGCGUAAUAGCUCACUGGUCGAGUGACGCUGCGCUGAAAAUGAUCGGGGCUGAAGCCUACCGCCGAAUUCGCGGACUCACGCAGGUGAGUGGUAGGGGAGCGUUCCCGAUGCCGAGGAAGGUUGUCUGUGAGGGCAGCUGGAGGCAAGGGAAGUGCGAAUGCCGGCAUGAGUAACGAUAAACAGGGUGAGAAUCCCUGUCGCCGUAAGCCCGAGGUUUCCUACGCGAUGGUCGUCAACGUAGGGUUAGGCGGGGCCUAAGGAUAACCCGAGAGGGGAGGCCGAAGGGCAACUGGUUAAUAUUCCAGUCCUACUGUGCGGUGCGAUGGGGUGACGCUUUAGGCUAGGCGAACCGGAGCCAUGGACGAGCCCGGACAGAAGCCCAAAGGGGACUACAGGCAAAUCCGUAGUCUGAUACCGGUGGGUGGUGUGGAAGCCGCGAGGUGACAACUCGCCGAAGCCAUGGAGCCUAGAAAAGCCUCUAAGCGUAACUGCACAGUACCCGUACCGGAGACCGACACAGGUGGGCGGGUGCGAGAGCACUCAGGCGCGCGGGAGAACCCUCGCCAAGGAACUUUGCAAGUUAGCCCCGUAACUUCGGGAGAAGGGGUGCUCUGGGUGGUGCCGCGUGCGGCGCCACUGGGGAGCCGCAGUGAAUAGGCGCUGGCGACUGUUUACCAAAAACACAGCUCUCUGCGAACGCGUAAGCGGAGGUAUAGGGAGCGACGCUUGCCCGGUGCUGGAAGGUCAAGGGGAGGGGUGGGAGCCCUGAACCGAAGCCCCAGUGAACGGCGGCCGUAACUAUAACGGUCCUAAGGUAGCGAAAUUCCUUGUCGGGUAAGUUCCGACCUGCACGAAAAGCGUAACGACCGGCGCGCUGUCUCGGCGAGGGACCCGGUGAAAUUGAACUGGCUGUGAAGAUGCGGCCUACCCGUGGCAGGACGAAAAGACCCCGUGGAGCUUUACUGCAGUCUGGCCUUGAGACCCGGCCGUUUUUGCGCAGGAUAGGUGGGAGCCUGUGAGGCUGUUCUUUCGGGGGCAGCGGAGGCGACGGUGAGAUACCACCCUAAGACGUCUGGGUUUCUAACCCUGGGAGGGCCAAGGGUCCUUGGGGGACAGGGUUUGACGGGCAGUUUGACUGGGGCGGUCGCCUCCCAAAGGGUAACGGAGGCGCCCAAAGGUUCCCUCAGGUGGGACGGAAACCCACUGGAGAGCGCAAGGGUAGAAGGGAGCUUGACUGUGAGGCCUGCAAGCCGAGCAGGGGCGAAAGCCGGGCCUAGUGAACCUGUGGUUCCGUGUGGAAGGGCCAUAGAUCAACGGAUAAAAGUUACCCCGGGGAUAACAGGCUGAUCUCCCCCGAGCGUCCAUAGCGGCGGGGAGGUUUGGCACCUCGAUGUCGGCUCGUCGCAUCCUGGGGCUGAAGAAGGUCCCAAGGGUUGGGCUGUUCGCCCAUUAAAGCGGCACGCGAGCUGGGUUCAGAACGUCGUGAGACAGUUCGGUCUCUAUCCGUCACGGGCGGAAGAAGGUUGAGGGGGGCUGCUCCUAGUACGAGAGGACCGGAGUGGACGCACCGCUGGUUUUCCGGCUGUUCUUCCAAGGGCAUAAGCCGGGUAGCCAAGUGCGGGAGGGAUAACCGCUGAAAGCAUCUAAGCGGGAAACCUGCCCCAAGAUGAGCCUUCUUACGGAGUUGAUCCGGUAAGGACCCCAGGAGAAUACUGGGUGGAUCGGCGGGGGGUGUAAGCGCAGCGAUGCGUUUAGCCGACCCGUGCGAAUGGUCCGAGGUCUUGACCCUGA
rnacentral:rRNA from 1 species